GGUAUUAUACUUUAUAUAGAAGAUAUGAUUUGCACUCAUAAAGAAAGACUAAACCUUUUAUACCA
rnacentral:tRNA from 1 species